CGCCGAUUGCGUCACAGCGAUGCGCCCUUAUUGCUGUUCCAAUAAGGGUCCUUCAAAUGCGGCCUACGAAUGCAGCCUUCUUUUCCCGGAUUUGAAGGAUGCAUUGGCUGUAUCCUUCACGGCCCAACGUAUCCCAAGGUCCUUCACGGCCCAAUGUAUCCCUCCCAAGAUUCAUUGCGCAUUCAAUCAAUGGAGAUGGCGGAGAAUGGCGAUUUAAGUUUUGCAUUUAAAUAUGGAGGUGCCAUGACAUGAGUGGUGGAUAUCUGCAAUAUUCUCCAGAGAAGGUCGUGCUACACAACAUCUGUAGACUGGCAAACCUCCCAGAUCCAGAGUUACCAGAUCAGGAUAUGGAGCACCCCGA
ensembl:lncRNA